rnacentral:rRNA from 1 species
ACGCUCGACACCUACGGGAAGCAGCAGUGAGGAAUAUUGGUCAAUGGACGCAAGUCUGAACCAGCCAUGCCGCGUGCAGGAUGACGGCUCUAUGAGUUGUAAACUGCUUUUGUACGAGGGUAAACGCAGAUACGUGUAUCUGUCUGAAAGUAUCGUACGAAUAAGGAUCGGCUAACUCCGUGUCAGCAGCCGCGGUAAUCUGAGCGGGCUGGCAAGGC